GGAAAACGGCCAGCGUGACUAUGCACGAACAAGUCGCCAAUCUUUAUCUCGUUUAAUAACCUUUUACAUCUUGUAUUUAAAAUAAGAGAUAUAUAGUUUAUUUAGGAUAAGUGGCACCGUUGGCUUGCCUUUGUUUCCUUCGAUGGAAGAAACGAGAGUUGACUCUACUCGGUCGCGGUUUUCAACGUUGAAACCAGUUAUACCCGUAACGCGUUAUUGCGACCGUGAGGCUAUUUUUGCCAAAGUAAAACGUUGUCGCAGGUAUCGCGCGCAACGUUCUGACACGAUCGAACAAAGCGAUGGUUUUCUGUUCUGGCGAUUAUUCGCGUGUAGCCAGACCUAAGACUUCCACACGGCAAAAAACGAAAGGAGUACCGUUGCUGAGGCAAGUCGUGGGGCAAAGUCCGCGAGUUGUGAUUCGAGUUAAGUCGAUCUCGGUCCCGUCUGCACUUUGCUCGUCGUAUUCGCGUCGUUCUUGUCCGAUGUCAAGGACCUCAACCUCUCGUAAAUUUUACUGGAGGAAGAUCGAAGAGUAGAUCGUCUCGGUAUCGAAAUAAUUUCAACGAGUCUUGUAAUUUAAAAUUCAAAAUCAUAAAUUCUGGCAAUCACUUGUAACCUUCAGACACCGAUUUCUAUUACGAACUUCGAUUCCUUCCACUCACUCGGUUCCACGAUUUCUCCAUCGCGAAUGCGAGCUAUCGACGCGUUCUAUUGUGUCGAAAGGCCAUGCAAGGCGCUUGCAAACAAUGCGAUCGAUAGUAAACUUCGGCCAUUGCGCCUGCACCCGUUGCUGCACCCAUAUUUUUCAUAUACCACACUUACAUGUAUAUGUAUAUAUAUACACACACAUAUACGUGUAAC
rnacentral:misc_RNA from 1 species